rnacentral:lncRNA from 1 species
AAAUUGUUGAACAGCUUCUAACAAGUAAACUUUGUAUGAGGUAACUUUCUAUCAUUAUUGCUUAUCUUUUUGAUAAGUGGUAUACAAAAUGACCUUAUGAUGUUCGAAGCAUGAAAGAAACAUAGCUUUGGUAGUUGGAUUUUUUGGUGUAAAAAGAUAAUGUACAGUCAGAUGCUGUAUAAUAGGAAAAGAAAAGAAAAGAAAAAGAAUAAUAACAUUACAGUAAGACUGUAAGAGUUGCAUGUUUUGGAUACUGUUGUUUCUAACUGGGUCUGUUUCAUGAGAUGUUGUUGUCAAAAGUUGAUGCAGUUCUGUUAUGUGUGCUUUCCUGUUAUUAGCCUUGACAAUGUCAUAACUGGUCUGUACAUUAUCAAAAUGAAUACAUCACCUACCACCGAGAUACUCCAUACGACCAUACUUCUGCAUUUUGCAUGGCAUAGUUAUCAGAUUGUGGAUCUUUAAGCAAAACAGAGUGGCUUCCAUCUAUCUUCACAAAUUGCCAACUUUUCGGUUUAAGAUGUCACAGAGUCUCUUAUUUAGCUUUUCAAGUAAGCUUCACUUUUAGGCACACAAGUUGUGGGUGCAUGCAUUUGAAAUAGUAAAGUGCACGAUGCCGUGAAUCACAAGAAUGAAAUUGAGGAUGCAGAUUCAGCCUGUCAGGUUGUGCACAAGGUCUGCUGGCUUCAACAAAACAUGUCACUAGAGGUCACCAAACUAAAUCUAUUGUCCUUUGUCCAUAAAUUACUCAUUGUACAAUGAUAAACAUUGUAUUAGUACUGAGUUUGGCUGUGGUGCUUCUGUUAACAAUGCACUUACUAAUAUUAAUUUAAAUUUUGGUGAUCUUGAUCCUCGACAUUUACAUUUUCUCGUCUUGGAAUGCUCUGUAGCCUAUCAGCCUCAUCAGAUGUAUUAGAGCCUCGUCAGAAUUGUAUUAUACAUAUGUAUGCAUUCUAGAUUUGAAUAUAUAAUCUUGCUUACUUUGUGAG